CGGAGAGCGUGAUGUCUCACGCCGUGAGGUCGUUGGUCAAAAAACGGUAAACAAACACGGUGCACGCCGUAAAGUCGUCUAGUCAAAAAACGGUUUAAAAAACAUCGUGUAUUCUUUUUCUAAUCUGGCCGGUCACAUUCAAAUCUGAUUGCGUUAUUCCAAGAGCUUGGAGUGAAUUUAAAGCUUUCUGAAAUGUCCUCCUCUCUGAGUCUAGAUGAUGUCAAGGGAUGUGAAUGGAGCAUUGGUAACGGCCUGUCCGGAUUAUUUGCUCAAAAAUCGAACGCUUUGAAUCCUUACUUCUCGCAGAUGAUCAGAGAAAUAGUCAAGUUCAAACAUGAUGUUCUUCAGUGCUGGGCGUGGAUGAGACAACAUCUGCAGCUGAAUUGAAGGAGGCUUACAGGAGGUGUUUGAUUAAACUUCAGUAUUGUGUGUCCAACUGGAUCUUAUCCGAAAAAGCUACUAGUAUGGCAGAAGUGGCUUACGAUGCUUAACCGAUCAAAUAAAAAGAGAUCAUUACCUUAAGGAUUAUUCCCCAAUCAAACCCGCUAUACCUGAAAUAUGCCCCUUUAUUAAUAUCACUAAAGCAGGGGAAGAAAAGGCCGUGAUCACAAGAAUUAGAAAACAGUGUAAGAGACAUUCAUUUGUUAGCAUUUGCCGAGAAGGGCAAUCUACAACAGACCUGAGAGUGGGAGUUACCAGUCAUGAAUCGGACAGAGAUGUUAACGCCUCUCCUGGAAUCAAAGAAUGGGUGGAGGAAGCGAACCUCUGACCAGUUGCUUGUGUUUGUUCCGCAUGCCCGAUUUCGGGUACUGAACAUAGGUAUAAGGAGACAGAGACAUUUGUGACAGAGGAUUGGAAGCUGCGUAUAGCAAACGAUGGGCGGGCCUGUGGAAGCGGUGGCAUAAGAAUUGUGAAUAGAUGGGAAUGCGGAUUGAGCAGCGGAUGGUUCAAAUGGAACGAUGGAACAAAAUUGAACAUGCGUUUUGCCAGAGAGAAUGUUGAUGCUCUUGUGAAAGAAGCCGCUAAAUUGAGCAUUGCAAUGGAUGGGCAUUCACAGGGGUCUGCCAUUUUAUAAGGUACUCACCAACUUAUUGACGGGUGUAGGAAAAACUCUUCUUUCUCUUUCUUUUUUUUUUAAAAUUUUUGUUUUGAUAUAAUCAUUUUUGUCAUCUUUAUUUCAAAUUAUAUUCUAUGAUCCAUUAUCAAGUUGAAUAAGUUUGAAAGGACAAAUGUUUGUAAAAAAAUUGGAUCACACAGUUAAAUCCAUAAACAAUCAAGAUAAUUUAUCAUG